rnacentral:lncRNA from 1 species
GCGCCGGAGAUGGGGUGAGUGAGCCCGCGCCGCGCGCGCCCCGCGCGCAGCCCCAGAGGGGCUGCGGGGCCGCGGAUCGCGUCUCCCCGCUCGGAGCCCAGCGAGCCGGCGGGCCCUUGCGCCCCGAGCCGGGAGCCUGAAGUCGGGGCGCAGCCGGCUCCGGAGAGCCUGGGGCCGCCCGACCCCGCGCCCUCUGCCCGGGCUCGCGGGCACGGGGCAGGGACACGUUGGCCUGAGCGCGGACUUUCAGCCCCGCACCCGUGGCCUUUCUCCUCCGAAGCAGCCCAGCCGCUGGGGCACCGGGCGGGGACAGGCACCCUGGCCGGCCUCGGUGCUUCGGCCAUUCCGCGGUCCCCUUGCUCCGGACGCGAUCAACUCCAGGGCCUGUGUUUGGGAGUCCAAGAAGCAGUUUGUCUUUCUCUACAAUUGGGUUUAUUACAAACAAAAUGGAAAUCGAAGUUUUCCUGGAAAGGGAACAAACCACGUAAUAAUAAUCUCAGCGUAGGAAUAGUGGACUUUGAGUCUGCUUUGAGAUGGCUGAGGAUGAUGGAAGUCUGCGAGGAGUCAAGAGAGCAGCCCAUCUUCACCACCCGAGCGCAUGUGUUCCAGAUCGACCCCAGCACCAAGAAGAACUGGGUGCCUGCAAGCAAGCAGGCCGUCACCGUCUCCUACUUCUACGAUGUCACAAGGAACAGCUAUCGGAUCAUCAGUGUGGAUGGAGCCAAGGUACCGUCCCUCGGGCUCACUUUCGCGUUUCUGGUCACUUAUUUCCCCUCAAAAGGAAUACGAUACGUUUGAAAAGUGGAGGAGAAAGAGUGCACCCCAAAUCCUGCCACCUCCACAGAGAUGUUAUUGUUAUAAUUAAUGCCUUUAUAACCACAGAUCCUGCUUUUUUUCUUUUUUUGUUUAAAAUUAUGGCAAAUGAAAAGGAAAAAAAAAAAAAAGCUUUCCCUACUAGCAUGUUGUCUUCAUAA